UACGAAGGGGGCUAGCGUUGCUCGGAAUCACUGGGCGUAAAGCGCACGUAGGCGGGUUGUUAAGUCGGGGGUGAAAUCCUGGAGCUCAACUCCAGAACUGCCUUCGAUACUGGCGACCUUGAGUCCGGGAGAGGUGAGUGGAACUCCGAGUGUAGAGGUGAAAUUCGUAGAUAUUCGCAAGAACACCAGUGGCGAAGGCGGGUCUCUGGACAGUUCCUGACGCUGAGGCACGAAGGCCAGGGGAGCAAACGGG
rnacentral:rRNA from 1 species